rnacentral:rRNA from 1 species
UACAGAGGGGGCAAGCGUUGUUCGGAAUUACUGGGCGUAAAGGGCGCGUAGGCGGCCUCUUAAGUCGAACGUGAAAUCCCCGGGCUCAACCCGGGAACUGCGUCCGAUACUGGGAGGCUUGAAUCCGGGAGAGGGAUGCGGAAUUCCAGGUGUAGCGGUGAAAUGCGUAGAUAUCUGGAGGAACACCGGUGGCGAAGGCGGCAUCCUGGACCGAGACUGACGCUGAGGAGCGAAAGCCAGGGGAGCAAACGGG